UAAAAAUACAGACUAUGCUUAACGCAUAGACUUUUGCUUGUCAAUAUAAGGAGCGCCUUGCUCGCGUGUCUUUGUUUCUUUUUCUUUGCACUUCGUUGCCGCCGAACCUCGAGACCUAACCUCGACCCUAACUCGGCUUAAAUCCCGCUGGGGAUUUAUUCUUAGAUCUAUAUCUUUAAUCAUACUUUGCUACAAAUCGAGUCACUGCCCUCGAUUAAUAACGGGCUACUGAUUACCGGCAUUUACACCGGUGGAGAUCUCCGCCGGUCAUCGGACGAAGACGGAACUGAAGACCAUCAUCGCCGGGAAUUAGUCAGGCCAGUGUCCUUCCAUAUUACUUCUAAGGUACGUUGUCGCGGCGUGGGCCAGCUAAGGAAAUAAAGGCUGAAAAUCAGGUGCCUAACGCGCCUGAUUCCGAACCUACCCCCUGUUUUCUGACCGCGUGCUAUUAAAAUUUAUAACUUAAAAAAAUAGUCUAUUAUUCUACUUCUACAACCUCUAAAAUCUAC
rnacentral:misc_RNA from 1 species